rnacentral:rRNA from 2 species
CACGUGAGCAACCUGCCCUGGACUCUGGGAUAAGCGCUGGAAACGGCGUCUAAUACUGGAUAUGAGACGUGAUCGCAUGGUCGUGUUUGGAAAGAUUUUUCGGUCUGGGAUGGGCUCGCGGCCUAUCAGCUUGUUGGUGAGGUAAUGGCUCACCAAGGCGUCGACGGGUAGCCGGCCUGAGAGGGUGACCGGCCACACUGGGACUGAGACACGGCCCAGACUCCUACGGGAGGCAGCAGUGGGGAAUAUUGCACAAUGGGCGGAAGCCUGAUGCAGCAACGCCGCGUGAGGGAUGACGGCCUUCGGGUUGUAAACCUCUUUUAGCAGGGAAGAAGCGAAAGUGACGGUACCUGCAGAAAAAGCGCCGGCUAACUACGUGCCAGCAGCCGCGGUAAUACGUAGGGCGCAAGCGUUAUCCGGAAUUAUUGGGCGUAAAGAGCUCGUAGGCGGUUUGUCGCGUCUGCUGUGAAAUCCCGAGGCUCAACCUCGGGCCUGCAGUGGGUACGGGCAGACUAGAGUGCGGUAGGGGAGAUUGGAAUUCCUGGUGUAGCGGUGGAAUGCGCAGAUAUCAGGAGGAACACCGAUGGCGAAGGCAGAUCUCUGGGCCGUAACUGACGCUGAGGAGCGAAAGGGUGGGGAGCAAACAGGCUUAGAUACCCUGGUAGUCCACCCCGUAAACGUUGGGAACUAGUUGUGGGGACCAUUCCACGGUUUCCGUGACGCAG